UUGGAUCGUUGCUUCGUGAGAGCAGAUCGCUGAUCAAGAAGGGAGGUCUUAGCCCUAGCCUCGACCUUUCCUCUUCGACGCCGGCUUGGAUCUACUGUCUUGUGUUCUAGCUUCCAUUUCGCACACGUAGGUUGUGCUGUUCUGGUGGUGGACAGCAGCUCGAUCCGGGCAGAGAGGAGGCUCUGUUCCUUUUGAUUGAGUGCUGUGGAUUAGUAUGCAUGGUUGUGAGCUAGAGGUACUAUCUUGUGGAUGUGAUCUUAGGUUCCAACAGCAGCUACCCUAACCGGCAGCUACACCUUUGGUUGUGAUCUAUUGGUGAUCACCUUGGAUUCGAGGAGUCUGAUUUGAGACAGGCGUCUCGACGUUGACUUCGGAUUUGGAUUGUACCUUCUA